AUGUACGGAAUUUGCCAGAGAUGGCUUAGUGCUCGAAAGAGAACCGUAACACAGGUGCUGCAUGGCUGUCGUCAGCUCGUGUCGUGAGAUGUUGGGUUAAGUCCCGCAACGAGCGCAACCCUUGUCAUUAGUUGCUACAUUUAGUUGGGCACUCUAAUGAGACUGCCGGUGACAAACCGGAGGAAGGUGGGGAUGACGUCAGUGCUUGCCU
rnacentral:misc_RNA from 1 species